AUUGAACGCUGGCGGCAGGACUAACACAUGCAAGUCGAACGAGGGGCGGACGGGUGAGUAAUGUCUGGGAAUCUGCCUGAUGGAGGGGGAUAACUACUGGAAACGGUAGCUAAUACCGCAUACCAUCGGAUGUGCCCAGAUGUGAUUAGCUAGUAGGUGGGGUAAAGGCUCACCAAGGCGACGAUCCCUAGCUGGUCUGAGAGGAUGACCAGCCACACUGUAACUGAGACACGGUCCUGACUCCUACGAGAGGCAGCAGUGGGGAAUAUUGCGCAAUGGGCGCAACCCUGAUGCAGCCAUGCCGCGUGUAAGAAGAAGGCCUUCGGGUUGUAAAGUACUUUCAGCGGUGAGGCGUUACCCGCAGAAGAAGCACCGGCUAACUCCGUGCCAGCAGCCGCGGUAAUUC
rnacentral:rRNA from 1 species